ACGGUUCCGGUUCACGUCCCGACGGUCGCCCGCAGCGGCGCCCGGCGCACGGGGCGACCCGGCGACC
rnacentral:ncRNA from 1 species